rnacentral:rRNA from 1 species
UACGUAGGGUGCGAGCGUUUGUUCGGAGUUACUGGGCGUAAAGCGUGCGUAGGCGGUGGUCCAAGUCUGGUGUGAAAUCUCCCGGCUUAACUGGGAGGGUGCGCCGGAAACUGGGCCGCUGGAGUACGGGAGAGGCAAGCGGAAUUCCAGGUGUAGCGGUGAAAUGCGUAGAUAUCUGGAGGAACACCCGUGGUGCAGACGGCUUGCUGGACCGUGACUGACGCUGAGGCACGAAAGCGUGGGUAGCAAACAGG